rnacentral:rRNA from 1 species
AGAGUUUGAUCAUGGCUCAGAAGUCGUAACAAGGUAACCGUAGAGUUUGAUCAUGGCUCAGAUUGAACGCUGGCGGCAGGCCUAACACAUGCAAGUCGAACGGUAGCACAGAGGAGCUUGCUCCUUGGGUGACGAGUGGCGGACGGGUGAGUAAUGUCUGGGAAACUGCCCGAUGGAGGGGGAUAACUACUGGAAACGGUAGCUAAUACCGCAUAACGUCGCAAGACCAAAGAGGGGGACCUUCGGGCCUCUUGCCAUCGGAUGUGCCCAGAUGGGAUUAGCUAGUAGGUGGGGUAACGGCUCACCUAGGCGACGAUCCCUAGCUGGUCUGAGAGGAUGACCAGCCACACUGGAACUGAGACACGGUCCAGACUCCUACGGGAGGCAGCAGUGGGGAAUAUUGCACAAUGGGCGCAAGCCUGAUGCAGCCAUGCCGCGUGUAUGAAGAAGGCCUUCGGGUUGUAAAGUACUUUCAGCGAGGAGGAAGGCAUUGUGGUUAAUAACCGCAGUGAUUGACGUUACUCGCAGAAGAAGCACCGGCUAACUCCGUGCCAGCAGCCGCGGUAAUACGGAGGGUGCAAGCGUUAAUCGGAAUUACUGGGCGUAAAGCGCACGCAGGCGGUCUGUCAAGUCGGAUGUGAAAUCCCCGGGCUCAACCUGGGAACUGCAUCCGAAACUGGCAGGCUAGAGUCUUGUAGAGGGGGGUAGAAUUCCAGGUGUAGCGGUGAAAUGCGUAGAGAUCUGGAGGAAUACCGGUGGCGAAAGCGGCCCCCUGGACAAAGACUGACGCUCAGUGCGAA